rnacentral:rRNA from 1 species
UACAGAGGGUGCAAGCGUUAAUCGGAAUUACUGGGCGUAAAGCGCACGUAGGCGGAUUUGUAAGUCAGAUGUGAAAUCCCCGGGCUCAACCUGGGAACGGCAUUUGAUACUGGCAAACUCGAGUGUGGUAGAGGGAAGUGGAAUUCCGCAUGUAGCGGUGAAAUGCGUAGAUAUGCGGAGGAGCACCAGUGGCGAAAGCGGCUUUCUGGACCAACACUGACGCUGAGGUGCGAAAGCGUGGGGAGCAAACAGG